AGGUUAUUAGUUUAAAGUAAAAUACUUGAUUUCGGCUCAAGAGAUAGCGGUUAAAGCCCACAAUAACUUG
rnacentral:tRNA from 1 species